GGAUCAUUACACAACAAAAAUAUGAGGGUGUGGUUUGCUGGCAACAGCGUCCGCCCCAAGUAUUUUUCACCCAUGUCUUUUGCGCACUUUUUGUUUCCUGGGCGAGUUCGCUCGCCACCAGGACCCAACCAUAAACCUUUUUUUAUGCAGUUGCAAUCAGCGUCAGUAUAAUAAUUCAAUUUAUUAAAACUUUCAACAACGGAUCUCUUGGUUCUGGCAUCGAUGAAGAACGCAGCGAAAUGCGAUACGUAGUGUGAAUUGCAGAAUUCAGUGAAUCAUCGAAUCUUUGAACGCACAUUGCGCCCUUUGGUAUUCCAAAGGGCAUGCCUGUUCGAGCGUCAUUUGUACCCUCAAGCUUUGCUUGGUGUUGGGCGUCUUUUUGUCUCUCCCCUUGUUGGGGGAGACUCGCCUUAAAACGAUUGGCAGCCGACCUACUGGUUUUCGGAGCGCAGCACAAAUUUGCGCCUUCCAAUCCACGGGGCGGCAUCCAGCAAGCCUUUGUUUUCUAUAACAAAUCCACAUUUUGACCUCGGAUCAGGUAGGGAUACCCGCUGAACUUAAGCAUAU
rnacentral:rRNA from 1 species